GAAGAAGCGACGGGCGUGUACAAGGAAACGGACAAAUCCAGAAACAUCCCUUGCAUUCAGAUGCACAUUUGAUGAAAAUUGCUCUUCACCAACUUUAUUUUCAAUAACAACACACCUGCCAAGGACCUUCAAAAGCAGAUUGUGAAGACAAGUAUUAGUCCACGGGCUACUUCCUACCCAACGACUUCAGAAUCCGGGAAAGCAACUGUCCUACAUCAUCUCACACCUGUAACCAAUAAAUCUAAGACAUGCUUU
rnacentral:lncRNA from 1 species